rnacentral:rRNA from 1 species
AGCGAACGCUGGCGGCAUGCUUAACACAUGCAAGUCGCACGGCGGGGGCAACUCCGUCAGUGGCGGACGGGUGAGUAACGCGUAGGAAUCUAUCCUUGGGUGGGGGACAACCGUGGGAAACUACGGCUAAUACCGCAUGAUCCCUGAGGGGCAAAGACGAAAGUCGUUUGAGGAGGAGCCUGCGUCUGAUUAGGUAGUUGGUGGGGUAAAGGCCUACCAAGCCUGCGAUCAGUAGCUGGUCUGAGAGGAUGAUCAGCCACAUUGGGACUGAGACACGGCCCAAACUCCUACGGGAGGCAGCAGUGGGGAAUAUUGGACAAUGGGCGCAAGCCUGAUCCAGCAAUGCCGCGUGGGUGAAGAAGGUCUUCGGAUUGUAAAGCACUUUUGGCAGGGACGAUGAUGACGGUACCUGCAGAAUAAGCCCCGGCUAACUUCGUG